rnacentral:rRNA from 1 species
GAUGAACGCUGGCGGCGUGCCUAAUACAUGCAAGUCGAGCGAACAGACGAGGAGCUUGCUCCUCUGACGUUAGCGGCGGACGGGUGAGUAACACGUGGAUAACCUACCUAUAAGACUGGGAUAACUUCGGGACACCGGAGCUAAUACCGUAUAAUAUAUUGAACCGCAUGGUUCAAUAGUGAAAGACGGUUUUGCUGUCACUUAUAGAUGGAUCCGCGCCGCAUUAGCUAGUUGGUAAGGUAACGGCUUUCCAAGGCAACGAUGCGUAGCCGACCUGAGAGGGUGAUCGGCCACACGGGAGCGGAGCCACGGUCAAGACUCCUGCGGGAGGCAGCAGUAGGGAAUCUGCCGCAAUGGGCGAAAGCCUGACGGAGCAACGCCGCGUGAGUGAUGAAGGUCUUCGGAUCGUAAAACUCUGUUAUGGGGGAAGAACAAAUGUGUAAGUAACUAUGCACGUCUUGACGGUACCUAAUAAGAAAGCAACGGCUAACUACGUG